AGCAGUGUGGCUCAGGGGAAAGAGCACGAACUUGGGAGUCAGAUGUCAUGGGUUCGAAUCCCGACUCUGCCA
rfam:Ornithorhynchus anatinus chromosome 1, whole genome shotgun sequence.